UGCCCCGUGGCUGAGUUGGUUACAGCGGUUGACUGUUAGUUAAUAAUCCCCAAUUGGGGAUGAUACGUAAUAGCGGAUCAGACGGUCGAGAGUUCGAGUCUCUCCGGGGCAG
rnacentral:tRNA from 1 species